rnacentral:misc_RNA from 1 species
GAUGAAGAACGUAGCGAAAUGCGAUACGUAAUGUGAAUUGCAGAAUUCAGUGAAUCAUCGAAUCUUUGAACGCAUAUUGCGCUCUCUGGUAUUCCGGAGAGCAUGCUUGUUUGAGUAUCAGUAAACACCUCAACUUCCAUAUCUUUUUUUGAAAUGGGAGUUGGACUUGAGUGAUCCCAACGCUUUUCCUCACCGAAAAGUGGCGGGUUACUUGAAAUGCAGGUGCAGCUGGACUUUUCUCUGAGCUAUAAGCAUAUCUAUUUAGUCUGCCUAAAAAACAGAUUAUGACCUUUGCUGCAGCUAACAUAAAGGAGAUUAGUUCUUGUGCUGACUGAUGCAGGAUUCACAAAGACAGCUUCGGCCGACUUUGUAAACUCGAUCUCAAAUCAAGUAAGACUACCCGCUGAACUAAAGCAUAUCAAUAAGCGGAGGA